rnacentral:rRNA from 1 species
AUUGAACGCUGGCGGCAUGCCUAACACAUGCAAGUCGAACGGCAGCGCGGGGGCAACCCUGGCGGCGAGUGGCGGACGGGUGAGGAAUGCAUAGGAAUCUGCCCGGUUGUGGGGAUAACGUAGGGAAACUUACGCUAAUACCGCAUACGACCUUCGGGUGAAAGUGGGGGACCUUCGGGCCUCACGCGAUCGGAUGAGCCUAUGCCCGAUUAGCUAGUUGGCGGGGUAAGAGCCCACCAAGGCGACGAUCGGUAGCUGGUCUGAGAGGAUGAUCAGCCACACUGGGACUGAGACACGGCCCAGACUCCUACGGGAGGCAGCAGUGGGGAAUAUUGGACAAUGGGCGCAAGCCUGAUCCAGCAAUGCCGCGUGUGUGAAGAAGGCCUUCGGGUUGUAAAGCACUUUUGUUCGGGAAGAAAUCCGUGUGGUUAAUACCCGUACGGGAUGACGGUACCGAAAGAAUAAGCACCGGCUAACUUCGUG